AAGAAUGGGCAUUGAUUAUUUUGGCAUACGUAACGGCGUGACAUGUUUUGAAUACGCGUUCACGUGAAUUUUUAUCUAUCCACUUCACUUCACUUGUCAUAUUCAUAGAGCGAGAGCGAAAGAAUCAUCGAAGAAUAAAGCGAUGGAACCUCCUCAAAUACAGUCCGUUGAUGCUUCAGCCACCGCCGGAGAUGAUGAUCCACAAGACAAGAUCAUCAACGAUUGUUGUUCUUGCUGUUAUGACUGUUCUGGGGGUUUCUUCGACUACUUGUGCUGUUGAAUUAUUUCCAUCGAAUUUCAAUUCCAUGUAUAAUUAUCAGAUGUAUGUUAUAAUUAUUUAUAUUUAAUAUUGAUUUAAAUAAUACUUGUCGAAUAUUUUUACUAA